CCAGACUCCUACGGGAGGCAGCAGUGGGGAAUAUUGCGCAAUGGGCGAAAGCCUGACGCAGCAACGCCGCGUGAUCGAGACGCCCUUCGGGGUGUAAAAAUCUGGCUGUGGGGACGAAACUUGACGGUACCCACAGAGGAAGCACCGGCUAACUCCGUGCCAGCAGCCGCGGUAAUACGUAGGGAGCAAGCGUUGUCCGGAAUUACUGGGCGUAAAGGGCGCGUAGGUGGGUGCUUAAGUCAGGUGUGAAAGCUCCGGGCUCAACCGGGAGACUGCACUUGAAACUGGGUGUCUUGAGGGCAGGAGAGGAAAGUGGAAUUCCUAGUGUAGCGGUGAAAUGCGUAGAUAUUAGGAGGAACACCAGUGGCGAAGGCGGCUUUCUGGACUGUACCUGACGCUGAGGCGCGAAAGCGUGGGUAGCGAACGGGAUUAGAUACCCGUGUA
rnacentral:rRNA from 1 species